rnacentral:rRNA from 2 species
CAGCAGCCGCCGCGGUAAUACGUAGGGGGCAAGCGUUGUCCGGAAUUAUUGGGCGUAAAGCGCGCGCAGGCGGUCUUUUAAGUUUGGUGUUUAAGCCCGGGGCUCAACCCCGGUUCGCACUGAAAACUGGGAGACUUGAGUGCAGGAGAGGAAAGCGGAAUUCCACGUGUAGCGGUGAAAUGCGUAGAGAUGUGGAGGAACACCAGUGGCGAAGGCGGCUUUCUGGACUGUAACUGACGCUGAGGCGCGAAAGCGUGGGGAGCAAACAGGAUUAGAUACCCUGUAGUCCACGCCGUAAACGAUGAGUGCUAGGUGUUAGGGGUUUCGAUACCCUUGGUGCCGAAGUAAACACAAUAAGCACUCCGCCUGGGGAGUACGCUCGCAAGAGUGAACUCAAAGGAAUUGACGGGACCCGCACAAGCAGUGGAGUAUGUGGUUUAAUCCGAAGCAACGCGAAGAACCUUACCAGGUCUUGACAUCCCUCUGACCGGUACAGAGAUGUACCUUCCUUCGGGGCAGAGGAGACAGGUGGUGCAUGGUUGUCGUCAGCUCGUGUCGUGAGAUGUUGGGUUAAGUCCCGCAACGAGCGCAACCCUUGAACUUAGUUGCCAGCACUUAAGUUGGGCACUCUAAGUUGACUGCCGGUGACAAACCGGAGGAAGGUGGGGAUGACGUCAAAUCAUCAUGCCCCUUAUGACCUGGGCUACACACGUACUACAAUGGCCGGUACAACGGGAAGCGAAGUCGCGAGAUGGAGCGAAUCCUUAGAAGCCGGUCUCAGUUCGGAUUGCAGGCUGCAACUCGCCUGCAUGAAGUCGGAAUUGCUAGUAAUCGCGGAUCAGCAUGCCACGGUGAAUACGUUCCCGGGUCUUGUACACACCGCCCGU